UACGAAGGGGGCUAGCGUUGCUCGGAAUUACUGGGCGUAAAGCGCACGUAGGCGGAUUGUUAAGUCGGGGGUGAAAUCCUGGAGCUCAACUCCAGAACUGCCUUCGAUACUGGCGAUCUAGAGUCCGGGAGAGGUGAGUGGAACUGCGAGUGUAGAGGUGAAAUUCGUAGAUAUUCGCAAGAACACCAGUGGCGAAGGCGGCUCACUGGCCCGGUACUGACGCUCAUGUGCGAAAGCGUGGGGAGCAAACAGG
rnacentral:rRNA from 1 species